rnacentral:rRNA from 1 species
GAUGAACGCUGGCGGCGUGCCUAACACAUGCAAGUUGAACGAAGCACUUACGACGGAAUCCCUCGGGAGGAAGAUGUAAGCGACUUAGUGGCGGACGGGUGAGUAACGCGUGGGUAACCUGCCCUGUACAGGGGGACAACAGCCGGAAACAGCUGCUAAUACCCCAUAAGCGCACGGUAUCGCAUGAUACAGUGUGAAAAGCCGAGACGGUACAGGAUGGACCCGCGUCUGAUUAGAUAGUUGGUGGGGUAACGGCCUACCAAGUCAGCGAUCAGUAGCCGGCCUGAGAGGGUGAACGGCCACAUUGGAACUGAGACACGGUCCAAACUCCUACGGGAGGCAGCAGUGGGGAAUAUUGCACAAUGGGGGAAACCCUGAUGCAGCGACGCCGCGUGAAGGAAGAAGUAUUUCGGUAUGUAAACUUCUAUCAGCAGGGAAGAAAAUGACGGUACCUGACUAAGAAGUCCCGGCU